rnacentral:pre_miRNA from 2 species
UAAAUACUCCUUUCAUCCGAAAAUAUUUUUCAUAUAACGGAUGUAUCUAGAUGUAUUUUAGUUCUGAAUACAUCUAUUUUUAUACAUUUGUGCAACAAAUAAUUUCGGACGGCGGAAGUAUAAG